rnacentral:rRNA from 1 species
GACGAACGCUGGCGGCGUGCCUAACACAUGCAAGUCGAGCGAGUGAAUCUCCUUCGGGAGUGAAACUAGCGGCGGACGGGUGAGUAACACGUGGGCAACCUGCCUCAUAGAGGGGAAUAGCCUUUCGAAAGGAAGAUUAAUACCGCAUAAGAUUGUAGCUUCGCAUGAAGUAGCAAUUAAAGGAGUAAUCCGCUAUGAGAUGGGCCCGCGGCGCAUUAGCUAGUUGGUGAGGUAACGGCUCACCAAGGCGACGAUGCGUAGCCGACCUGAGAGGGUGAUCGGCCACAUUGGGACUGAGACACGGCCCAGACUCCUACGGGAGGCAGCAGUGGGGAAUAUUGCACAAUGGGGGAAACCCUGAUGCAGCAACGCCGCGUGAGUGAUGACGGCCUUCGGUUGUAAACUACUGUCUUCAGGGACGAUAAUGACGGUACCGUGAGGAGGAAGCCGACGGCGUAACUACGUGCCAGCAGCCGCGGUAACAGUAACUCG